AUCGCUUCUCGGCCUUUUGGCUCAGAUCAAGUGUAGUAUCUGUUCUUAUCAGUUUAAUAUCUGAUACGUCCCCCAUCGGGGACUACAUAUUAAAUGAUUUUUCGAACAGGGAGUCGGAAAUGGGGCUUGCUCCGUCCGCUCCACGCAUCGACCCGGUAUUGCAGUACCUCCGGGAACGGUGCAACACUU
rnacentral:snRNA from 1 species